AGCGCACGCACGUGCAACUUACGGUAUUAAAUUCAUCUCUGUAUUUUAUCGAAACGUGAAGAGUAUUGCGUUGGAACAGGAAUGCAGCCUAUUAUAAUAUUUGAUGCAUGUGAAAGAAGAUUAUCAAUUUCUUAUUUGACUAUUUCUUAUCAAGUUAGCUUAUGUUUCGUUACGAUUAUUCGGAGGAAAAAAAAAGAAUACGAGUUUAAUAUUGUAAUCCAUGUGUAUAAGUGAACGUUAUUCAUCACGUGUCAACUUCGUUCUUACCGAUGGAUUGGGUGUCGUAUAUCAACUUGUACCAAUUACCGUCUGCCCGACGGUUAAUUAAGGAUUGGGGCAAUGAGGCCCAGCGAUGCAGUUUCCGUGAUAAUAAUUAUCUGCGAUGGUAAUUGAAUAGAUUGUUACGCCGUCGAGCAAAUCGAGACAUCGAAGAACCUAGAAUAAAAAAGAAUCAAGAAACUUUUGAUGUUUUAUUUAUGAUUACUCAUCUUUUAUCUGUAUGUUUUUGAAAUAUCGGUAAGGUGAAUAAUUCUAGUAGCAAAGUUAGUAAGAAGGGAACGCUUGGUGAGGCGAACCUGCAGGCAAAACGACUGGACGAGAUCAUGUGGAUGUAUGUGAACACGAACAAGUAAUACGUUCAUAGACGAAGAAAAGGUAAGGGUGGCACGCGCGGCCCGCUUCUAUCGCUUCCGGGCAUCAGCGUGCUCGCGAGCCGCAGCUAAUUGCUCUUUAAUGCAAGCGAGCGAACGAGCGCGUUGCUUUUCUUAGAUGCCGAGGGAAACUGACCGUCGUCGUCCUGUACGCUGUAAAAAAGAGAAUACACGAGAUUUAUGUCGGCCCCCGGACUUUUCGUCACGCUUUGUUUAGGAUACGGUUUUAGUUUUGAGAAAACUCUUGGGGCUUCUUCCUUCUUUUUAAUUGCAACGGGUAACUGUGUCUUUGAUAUUGAUCUAGAACUGGAUAGACCACAUAGUCGUUUAAUAAUUAGGGUAUGUGCGUAGAUUAGAAAAUAGAAACUUUCCUGUUUAAAAUGAUCACGAUAUUAAGUAAUUCGAUAACAUUAAAAUUUUUUCUAAGUAUUGUAUAUUAAAUUCUAUUUCAAAUAUUCGUAAAUUUUUCAUAUUUCUUUAGUAGCGAUACAAGUUUACAAUUUUGAUUUCUCUUGUUUUAUAAACUUGAUGGUUCGUUGAAAUGAUAAUUCUUCAUUGUUUCUUUUGUAUAGUUAAUAAAAAAAACAAGAUAAAUAUAGUUUAAAAAAAAAAAGAAAUAUUAAAGUGAUGUUCAUUCAAAAAUUUCUUCAAUAAUGCACAUUAAUUUACGUAGAAUUUCAAAAAUCGAGUAUCGUUAUGUAGUUUACACACGGAAGGAAGAAAAGAAGGCGAAGAGUAAUCAUUCUAAUCAUUCGGUUUACCCGAUUUUUUUUUCAGGUCAGUCUCAGUUGUUUAUUCAGCUCUGGGCCAUUGGUAGUACAUAUAACACUGGCAACAAAAAUGAAGGGUAGAAAGCUCGAUUCGCCGAGGCAUGACCAACAGAGUCCUGCAAAAGCUCAUACAUAUGUAGACGACUCGGUCGGGACAUCAGGAAUCAUGGGGAGGACCCUCCGGAAAAAUGAAUAUGCAGCCCCAUAAAAGUUUGUUCAUUCAUUCAUUCAUAAUGUCGCCAAGGACGAGACUUCUCUGGCUUGUAGAUUGUCAAGGUAGAAGGGACGAGUAGCAACCCUUCAUCGAAGGAGGUGGCGAAGGAAGAAAGAAGAAAGAGGUGAAGCUAGGAGGGGAAGGGAAAGGAAAGAACGAGGCUGAAUGCGGUGACUGUGACGCUUUCCGGUCAGGUGCCGCCCUGACGAUCCUUCUCCUACCAACUUCCACUUGGAUCCACUCAUUCACUUACUUUUACCCUCCUUGAUUUCUUCCUUCUACAACAUCCUAUUCGAUAAAAAAAAUAAAAAAUAGAAUGCACACAGAAAAAAACGGAAAAUUAUUCCUUUUUAAAUCAAGAUCAUGAGACUUGAAGAAAAAACGGAAUAAUAAAUUCGAAGUUUAAGUAAUUGUUAGAUUUUUUGAAUUGAAAAAGAUGAAGAGAAGUAGGAAACAAAUGAAUUUCUCUGGUUAUUACCGUCGUAAUUAUCACGAUGCCUCGGGAGGCCAUUGUCACAAUGAACGUCCGGAGUUUCCCUACGAUUAUCGUACCGAAAAUCUCUUGCUGCCCAACCAACUUCUCGCCAGCUUCCUGCCUGCGACGGACAAUGAUUAUUUGUCGCAACUACACCGUAAAUUCUGUUAUAUAGGAAAGAAAAUGGAAAAUUAGUCGAAGGAAUGAUAACUUUCUAUCCUGGUGAUUGUCACCAUUUGCGAGCUUUAAAAAUCUGCGAAAGCUUGGAAAAAUGUGCUCCAAAAAUCACCUUAUUGAUCUACAAGAGCUUUCACAUGAGUUCAUCAAUCUUCAUCUAAAAAAAGAAAUCAACUUUAUUAAGAAAGAAACUUACAUUUCUUUCUUUUAAUUAUCCACAAAUGAUGAUUUGAAAAACUGCCAAAUCUCAAAGAAACCUGCUCCAAAAAUCACCUGUCUCGUUUGAUCAGAGCCUCGUCCCAGGUGGCCAGACUUGCAUGCGUCUCAUCCACUUCCUAGAGCGUGUAUCCCCACGCAGCGACAGACACGCGUGACGCGUACACUCGCCAGGAUGACUCGUGCUCUCUCGCGGCGUCGGGGGGAGCGCCGAUUUGAACGUGGGUGAGGGGUAGGCGAGGAGGUGAAGGUGGAACACCUUCGGAGAGGGUUUCUGGAAGGAGGAUAUGAUGGCUCGUGGCGUUAUGCUCUGCGAGCUGUUAUGCUCCUCGGGCACCACCGGACCAUAAGCGAGGCUACUUCGCUCCCGUACGCUCGGCGCAACAGCCGCCACGUUUCUUGUUAUAUUAGCGCAUCGGCGUCGCCUGACUAAAGCCGGAGAAUUGCCUUCUAUGCGAAUCUUCUUCGCAUGAACUCCUUCAUUCUUAUGUUUCUUUCCAGUUUUCUAUUGGAAGAAAUUUUGAUUUUGAAGAUGAUUAAAAGGGAAAGAUUAAAAACUUCAUAUGAAAAUUAUAAUUUUAUAAGUUGAUAGUAGUUUGAUAAUAAUAGUAAUGCUAUUGCUAUUAUUACAUACAUUGUAAUAUGUGCAACAGUUUUGAAAAGACUGAAUAUAAUAUAAUAUAAAUUAUUAUGUUUAAUUAAAUUAUAUUAUGUUUUAUAUUAUAAUAUAAUAUAAAACAGAGCAAUAAUCACAUGAAUAAACAAAUAUAUUCUCCAAUUUUCAAGAGAAUUCUAUUUUUCAAAUAAAAAUCUACUAAUUUAAAUAUAAGGAAUUAAAUAAAAAUAGAUAAAAAUCGAUAUUAUAAUACGAUAUUAAUAUAUGACUCUUUAUAGGUACACUGUCCUACAACAACAGAAUAUUUCAACCAGCAAAAUUCAGUGGAGUCAGACGCCAAUGGAUCUAGGCACGAGCCACGAGUCUGCGUCGAAUAUGCCUCGCAGUCUCUGACCCGCAGUUCCUCUCGGGGUACAAUGUUCCGGGGAGGCGGAGGUGGACGAACAGCACGAGGAGGCGGAGGUGGAGGAAGAUGGCGCGAGAGGAGAAGCGGUGGAAGGAGCGUAUUCAGCGUUCAGCAUGCGUAAGGAGCGCUGUGUGGCAUUAUGCAUGGGCCCGUAAGGCUGGCCUGAAACGAGCGAAUAAGAAAGUAGUUAAGGCCUCGACUGGCGGAGGUGGUUGCACGUAUCGGGGCAUUAGUUACUGGAGGAGGAGGAGAGGCCUGCUGCCACGCGCUGCCUGUCUCUCCUCUCUCUUCUGAUGCGCCUCUUCGCUUCUCCUCCACUGUCACUUCCUCUUCCCUCUUCGAUUCAACCAUCUAUACUACUCUUUCUAAUUCUUUUCUUUUUUUUUUUUUUUUUUUACUCUUCUUCGUCGUUGAUAGAAUGCUAGCCUUCCAUUUUCUUUCUGUAUGUUAUACUACUUGACAACGCCAUCUUACUUAAUGUUUUUCUUCUUUCGACACUCUUGUUCUUGCAUUAUCUUUAUCUAUAUUCCAUAUUAUUCAAUAAUCGAUUCUAUAAUUACUUUCUGUUUUACUAGAAAAUAUUCUAUUUUUCAUUGUUUUUAAUCUCUCAGAUUUCUCAGAAGCUUUUCUUAAAUCUUUUUCUCUUUUUUCUUUAAAUCUCUCUUUAUUUUAAUGGUAUUGCGUUACAAUCUUCUGUCACCUUUCAGCCCUCCAUACCAUUCCUUCAUCUAGCUCGAGCGAUUCUCCAUGCUGUAAUGUGUAACAACGACUCGUCACACUCUGCUUGUCGGCGCACACGAUAAUUGCCCUCAUUAUAGUUAUUUAAAAAGCGCUGCCGCCUCCUCCGCGGCGAUCGAGCCGCGAUAUAAGGACACGGCUACCCGUUCGCGCGAGUUAAUCGAGGCUGGAUAAUAAGAAGGAGAAAAGAAAAGAAGAAAAGAAAAGGGAAGAAAAGAGAAUAAAGAAAAAAGAAAAAGAAGAAAAUUGACCAAAUAUGGUCGUGUGCCUUCAUUGUAUUAUCGUAACUCUGUCACGUUACCAUAGGCAGUUUCAGCCUUUUCUUUUUCUUUUCUCCGCCAUCUUCUUUCUGUCCAUCCUCCUAUCCCUCUUUUGCUGUUUUUUUUUUUUUUCAUUAUCCAUCCAGCCAGGCCAUUGUUCCGGUUUGGAGAUUUUAAAACGAAUACAGUUGGCUCUCGGCUGUUGGCCAGCUUAAGAGAACCAGAUAAAGACGUGAUUCUUUUAUUAAUUUGUGCCUCUUUUUUUUUUGCCCGCUCCUCUUUUUCUCAUUACGUUUCCUCUUCUUUUAUUACGCGAUAUAAAACGGGGAUGAAUCAACGGCAACUCCGUAAUAAGAGAUUAAUGGGGUUUAAUUAGGAAGCGGGAUCGCAAUUAUCAUGUGCAAUGAAAGUUUCCCGUAAUUGGGGAAUUAAAUGCACCGCGGUAGAUAAAUUGACGGAGAUUGUGCCGGGGGUUGGGGUCUUUUCGCCGUGGAGCCAGUGCACUCGUUAAAUCGCACGAAUCUUUCCAUCGUGAUCAAUUUGUUUCUCAACAUUGUGGUAUUUAUCAUGCCAUUGUGCUAUAAAAUAAUUUAUUAAUUUUUUAUCUUUUGGAAUUAUCAUUAUUUUUUGUUUCUAAACUCUUCGAAAUU